rnacentral:lncRNA from 1 species
CCUAACUGUUCAGGGUUUGACCUCUGCGGUCGUAUAAGGCUGUGCCCUGUGGAGCAUCUGGUUUUCUAUCCUUUGAGCAAAGCUUUGAUAAUUGGCAUGUUGGUACAUCACCUCAAUAUGCAUAGAUGCCAACCAUUACGAUUUUUGCGUAGUUUUUCCGAUUUUGCGAUAAAAACUACGCUGUUACGGUCAAAGUCAUAUAGUUACGGAUUACCAAUCAUUGCCGAUCAAUUUUGUAAAACGCGGAUUUGUAUCAUUACUUUUCCGUCCUGGUCCGGUAUUUAGAAAACGCCAAUGUAAUGCUUCCGGUUCCUCGGGAGUUAUCAACCUAUUGUUGAGUAACUAACUGACUUCCGA